UUAUAACUAAUGGUGAUAUGAAAUUACAACAUAUAUGCUCUGCUAAACAAAGAGCAAAUAUUUUUACAAAAAUUGUUACUCAUGAUAUAUUUUUAAAUCUGUGCAGGAAACUCAGAAUGAAUUUCAAUCUAUAAGGGUAAGAUAUUGGCUAUUUCUUUAAUAACUAAUUUUAUUUUUUGUUGUUUUGUCUGUCUUUGUUUACAGAUUAUUAGAAGCAAGGAUGUUUGCUGAAUAAAGUAGUUGAAAUCAAUUAAAGGCAAUCAUAAGCUGAAGUAUUUUACAUUGAUCUGAAUGUCACAUUUCUGAUAAUAUUAUGAGAGGAUUUUCCUAGAAUAAACGACCAAUAGGUUUUUUACCCCUCACAUAGUCACAAUCAUUCUUAUUCACCAAUGGACCAGACGUACAACAAGAGAUGUUUAAAGACAAUUUUUAAAUGUUUAUUGUAUCAAGUAUAGACCUUAUAGUUUGAUAUAACGAAUCUAGAUAUACAAUAUUAUAAAUAGAUAUUGGAUGAUUGUGUAAA
rnacentral:lncRNA from 1 species